CCUAGAUUUACCUUUUUCCCUGAUCUGCUGUCUCAUAUGCCAGCACAAGAUGGCGCUCUUCCUGCUUCUUCUUCACCCAUUUUUCCCGUGCCCGCGAAAAUUGUUACUUUGUAGCACAGGCGCAACAUGACGUCCGACCGGAGAAACCAAUACCUACCUGGCCACGCCCUCCGCGAUGAGAUCAUCUCCGCCUCUGGCCCAACCCCUUCCCCUCCAAGUGUAUAUAAGGCAUUGCAUUACCACCAUUAAACGAGACUUGAUCAGA